UACGUAGGGUGCAAGCGUUGUCCGGAAUUAUUGGGCGUAAAGAGCUCGUAGGCGGUCUGUCGCGUCUGCUGUGAAACUCAGGGCUUAACCCUGAGCUUGCAGUGGGUACGGGCAGACUAGAGUGCGGUAGGGGAGACUGGAAUUCCUGGUGUAGCGGUGAAAUGCGCAGAUAUCAGGAGGAACACCGGUGGCGAAGGCGGGUCUCUGGGCCGAUACUGACGCUGGAG
rnacentral:rRNA from 1 species